rnacentral:rRNA from 1 species
UACGUAGGUGGCAAGCGUUGUCCGGAUUUACUGGGCGUAAAGAGCGCGCAGGCGGUCGAUUAAGUCGAAUGUGAAAGCCCCCGGCUCAACUGGGGAGGGUCAUUCGAUACUGAUCGACUUGAAGGCAGGAGAGAGAAGUGGAAUUCCCGGUGUAGCGGUGGAAUGCGUAGAGAUCGGGAAGAACAUCAGUGGCGAAGGCGGCCUGCUGGGCUGUUGCUGACGCUGAGGCACGGAAAGCGUGGGGAUCAAACAGG